GACGAACGCUGGCGGCGUGCUUAACACAUGCAAGUCGAACGGAAAGGCCCUGCUUUUGUGGGGUGUUCGAGUGGCGAACGGGUGAGUAACACGUGAGUAACCUGCCCUUGACUUUGGGAUAACUUCAGGUAACUGGGGCUAAUACCGGAUAGGAGCUCCUGCUGCAUGGUGGGGGUUGGAAAGUUUCGGCGUUUGGGGAUGGACUCGCGGCUUAUCAGCUUGUUGGUGGGGUAGUGGCUUACCAAGGCUUUGACGGGUAGCCGGCCUGAGAGGGUGACCGGCCACAUUGGGACUGAGAUACGGCCCAGACUCCUACGGGAGGCAGCAGUGGGGAAUAUUGCACAAUGGGCGGAAGCCUGAUGCAGCAACGCCGCGUGCGGGAUGACGGCCUUCGGGUUGUAAACCGCUUUCGCCUGUGACGAAGCGUGAGUGACGGUAAUGGGUAAAGAAGCACCGGCUAACUACGUG
rnacentral:rRNA from 1 species